CCCAUCAAUGCAGGACAUCCCUUCCCUUGGAAAUCUUUAGGAGUGGACUCCUUGCUUUGUCUGGUAGGGCUAAAGUCAUUCAGAUGCCCACCAUGCUGCUUGCUUGAAGAAGCCACACUCCAGGAAAGUGGAUGCAGCUGAAUACCUGUUAAAAAGGUGGAAGGAUAGCUGUCCCUGGAUGAGAUGUGUACUGAUGUACUGAGAGAGUCCUUCCCUCCUUGAAGUUACUGUGACUGUACCAGCUUCUGAAUCCUAGCUCACAAAAUUUACAGCAGCCUGAAUGAACUGCAAUGGGAAGGAAGAAGAAGCCACACAAACUCCUAUUUCUGAAUGUUAGACCCCCGGAAAACUCAGUUUACAGGUGUUCUCUAUAACAAAGCUGUGAGGAGACUCUGCCCUCUGUCCCCGGUGGGUGCCCUAGCCUCAGGUGAGUCUUGGCGCUGCUCUGCCCACCCCCAACCUUCCUCAUCAUCACCUGCUCGAUUCUGCCUGAGCUCACCAGGACAAGAGUGGACCCACUCAGACUGGAAGGCCCACCCUGAGUCUGGACACACCUCACCUCUGUCCACACUCUGCCCUCUGUCCUGCUGAGGGUGCCCGAACCUCAGGUGAGUCUGGGUGCUCCUCUGCCCCCCUCAAACUCCCACAUCAACCCCUGCUUGCUUCUGCCUGAGCCCACCUGGGCAAGAGUGGACCUCCCCAGUCUGGGAAGGCCCACCCUGAGUCCAGACACACCCCACCC